rnacentral:misc_RNA from 1 species
GAUCCCCCGCAACACUCGCGCCAGCUCCUCCGCCGAGAUCGAUCCGUUGCGGUCAACAUCGAAAACGGAGAACGCGUGGCGGAGGUCUUCGAGCGCUGCCUCUGGAUCGACACGGGCGGUGUUGAGGUCGAUGAACUCGUCGAGGCUGAUGAAGCCGUCGCCGUCAGCGUCAGCCUCCUCCAUCAUACGAUGGAGUUCGUCAGGUGUUGCCGGCUGGCCGAGGCUGUCGAAGAUGGCGGCGAGCUCGGAGGAGGAGAUCUUGCCGUCGCCGUUGGA